rnacentral:tRNA from 1 species
GCCUGGAUGGCUCAGUAGGUAGAGCAAGAGAUUCUUAAUCUUGGGGUUGUGAGUUUGAAUCCCAUACUGGGUG